rnacentral:misc_RNA from 1 species
AAGUCGUAACAAGGUUUCCGUAGGUGAACCUGCGGAAGGAUCAUUACAGUGUUCCUGCCCUCACGGGUAGACACCCCCCACCCUUUUGUAUAUCAUAUCUUUGUUGCUUUGGUAGGCCGCCCUCGGGCGCCGGCUCACGCUGGAUCGUGCCUGCCAGAGGCCCCCUAAAAUUCUGAAUAUCAAUGUCGUCCGAGUACUAUACAAUAGUUAAAACUUUCAACAACGGAUCUCUUGGUUCUG